rnacentral:lncRNA from 1 species
CGGGUCUCUGUUUUCAGAAAGGAAUAAAGACAGGAGUCUGUUUUCAGAAAGGAAUAAAGACAGGAGUCUGUUUUCAGGAGGAAUAAAGACAGGAGUCUGUUUUCAGAAAGGAAUAAAGACAGGAGUCUGUUUUCAGGAGGAAUAAAGACAGGCUAGUGGCGGCGACCUGACAGAGAGGGAUGGAGGCCUAGAGAGAAGAAAUGAGGCAGGGGAUACUGUGUCCUCAAAGAGCACCCUAUUCUUAUAAGGCUCUGGUCUAAAGUAGUGCACUAUAUAGGGAAUAGGGUGCCAUUGGGCUCUGGUCAAAAGUAGUGCACUAUAUAGGGAAUAGGGUGCCAUUUGGUACACAGUCUCUUUAAGUGGAUUCUUUGUCACUUCAAGGCGGAGGGAGCAGGUAUUUCCUGAAUAUCCUGAUUCCUCUCCAACCAUGGAGUCAGUCACAGGAUCAGCAGACGUCCUAUGUCCAACUGUAUAGGAAUGCUCUUUCACUUUGAUUACAGUUGGGUACAGGUUCAUCUCUGCUUUAUUAUUAUUAUGUGUGUGUUGUGUGUGUGUGUGUGUGUGUGUGUGUGUGUGUGUGUGUGUGUGUGUGUGUGUGUGUGUGUGUG